rnacentral:lncRNA from 1 species
GACGGCAGCAGGAUGCAUCUGAUCUCUUGCUGGAAAUGGUAGGCUAUUCCAAGGCUCUGCAGCUGAUGGAUGGCCCUUACCAGCAGCCUUCUGCUUGCGGUGCUGUCGCUGUCGUCCUCCUGCUGCUGCUGCCGCUGCCGGAGCAUCAACAUGUUAGCAACACCUGGGAAACCUGGAAAGGGGGAUCGGAGAGGAAGAGCUCAGAGGAGAAUGAGACUUGGAGAAGGGAAUAGCUGGGAGGAAGACGAGUUUGUCUGAUGUUUGAUAGCUAAAUUGUGCAUGCCCCUAUUACACAAGUGUUUGUCUUUUAUAUAGUACUACUAGAACAUCAAGCGAUCCAUAGAUACUUGACCCACUACUUGGCCCAUAUUGGCUCAGUAACCUUAGCAUUUGGACGAUGGACUCUCGUGUCCCGUGGCUUGUUCUCGCUGUCUGCUCAUUGCUACUGUCUGAUAUGUUGACAUUCUCCACCGCUUAAAAUACAACUUGUCCCCAAGCUGUGAUAUGCAUAACCACCAGGAUCCCAAACUAAGACUUUGAAAUUGCCUUGGCCACUAGUGACAGCACCUAGACUAGAAGAAACAAGGCCAACAGCCAUACCAAUUCCUGAACCAGCUCGACAAACGAUUGUCGUGAUUUCCUUGACAAACGAUGUCUGAUCACCCAGUACCAAUACGUCUUGCUGUCGAAUCUGUUGCUGAAUCGAAUCUCGAAGACAAAAUGUAGCAGCCGCAUGCGCUCCGGACCACGCUGUACAAUAUAGCGUCAAUAUCAACUGUUCAUUUGAGUCUGGUUUCUGUUCUGGACUACCCUCCAUACACAAAAAUUCACAUACCUCUUCGAUGGCGUGGAACUGCACACAUUUGUGACCAUUAAACCUCUUCUCAGCCCAAUGGUCGCAUAACCCCAGUGUGUGGUGAUAAUUCUUCAGCGAAGACACCCGAUCAGAUGCUGACGCUGCACGCAUUAGCUGAUAUCCAUCCAACAAAGAAGCUAAUUCAGCAGCCUCUUCAUGACUGCAGCCAAGUGUCCCCCAUGAUGAUUUCAGAGCCACGCGAGAUGAAUCUUUGGCUUCGGAUGUACGUCCAACUCUUUUUAAAAUCUCUGCAUUGAACACAAAGGUUCUACCAAAUCCAGGAAAUUGCACUCUACAAUAGAAUUCUUUAGUAUACAAACUAUCCAAGGAAGUGGGUGGUGGCCAUGGAAUUGGACGUAAAGCAGCACUGCCACACCAGAACUCAACAUGAAUAUGAGGUGGUGGCCAAGGCUGACGAUGUGGUGUUGCAUCCCAGCUGAAACAUCUUUGUAAGAGGUUGAAGCAAAUCAUCAAACACCUGUUGGGCGAGUUGGUGAUAACCUCCUCUUCUGCCGACACCACCAACUGUACCAUAGAAGAAACCGGGGAUAGAGCAGCUUCGAUGUAAGGAUCGAGGGGGAGCGGGUCCAUGAGCUGGUUCAUGAGCCCGCCGUUGAGGAACUUGGAGUGCUCGUCCAGGAUGUACUUGAAAGGGAAAUAGGCUCACACCUUUUCCUAAAUGAUUUUGGUGGUUGAAUUGCCCAACACAAAUAAUUGUACUAACUAGUUUGCUCUAGAUUAUAAGUUCUACAGGUGCCAAAGGUUCAACACAAAACAAUAAAAAGUCCAAGAAAGGGUUCAAAUAAAAAAGAGCAAAAGACAACCGAAGGCUGCCCUGGUCUGGCGCACCGGACUGUCCGGUGUGCCACCGGACAGUGUCCGGUGCACCAGGGAGAAUCACUUCGAACUCCUCAGCUUCGGGUUUCUGGAAAAUGUUCUCCGCUAUAAUUCACCAGACUGUCCGGUGUGGCACCGGACUGUCCGGUGUGCCAUGCAGAGCAAUGGCUAACUGCGUCAACGGUCGUCUGCAAAAUCUACAAGAACAGUGAACAGUGCGCGACUGCGCGCGCAGAGUCAGAGCAGGCGCCAGAAGGCGCACCGGACAGUGAACAGGACCUGUCCAGUGGCCCCACCUGUCAGAGCUCUAACGGUCGAACCCUAACAGUUGAGUGACGUGGCUGGCGCACCGGACAAUGUCCGGUGGCACAUUGGACUGUCCGGUGCGCCCUUCGACAACAGCCUUCCCCAACGGCCACUUUGGUGGUUGGGGCUAUAAAUACCCCCAACCACCACACUUCAAGGCAUCCAAGUUUUCAGCCAACACAUUCAAUACAAGAGCUAGUGCAUUCAAAACAAGACACAAUUAGAGUGAAUCAAAAUCUCUCCAAGUCUCAAUUCCACUCAAAGCAAUAGUGACUAGAAGAGAGAGUUUUGUCGUGUUCUUUUGAGCUCUUGUGCUUGGAUCGCUUUUCUUCUUCCCAUUUCUUGUUCCAAAGUUCUUUGUAAUCAAAGCAAGAUACACCAAUUGUGUGGUGGUCCUUGUGGGGACUAAGUGUCCCAAUUGAUUGAGAAGAGAAGCUCACUCGGUCUAAGUGAUCGUUUGAGAGAGGGAAAGGGUUGAAAGAGACCCGAUCUUUGUGACCACCUCAACAAGGAGUAGGUUUGCAAGAACCGAACCUCGAUAAAACAAAUCACUGUGUCACACUCUUCAUUUUCUUGUGAUUUGUUUUCGCCCUCUCUUUCGGACUCGACUUUAUUUUUAACGCUAACCCUGACUUGUAGUUGUGCUUAAACUUUAUAAAUUUCAAAUUUGCCUAUUCACCCCCCUCUAGGCGACUUUCAAUUGGUAUCAGAGCCCGGUACUUCAUUAGAGCCUAACCGCUCGAAGUGAUGUCGGGAGCUCACGCCAAGAAGGAGAUGGUGACCGGCGAGAAGCCCGCCAUAAGCCACGGGAAAGCUCCAUCGGGAGAGUCCGGCAACAAGAAGAGGGAGGAAUCACCUCCCCGCGUCAAGUCGCACCGGAGUGGCGACAAGAAGAAGAAAAUGAAGAAAGUGGUCUACUACGAGACCGAUUCUUUGUUGCCUUCCACCUCCAGCUCCGACACACCGUCCGUCACUUCUAAGCGCCAUGAGCGCAAGAAGUUUAGUAAGAUCCCAUUACGCUAUCUUCGCAUUUCCAAACACACUCCUUUACUUUCCGUCCCACUAGGCAAACCACCGUUUUUUUACGGUGAAGAUUAUUGUAUGUGGAGUGAUAAAAUGAGGCACCAUCUAACCUCACUCCACGCUAGCAUUUGGGACAUUGUUGAAUUUGGAGCGCAGGAACCAUCCGUGGGGGAUGAAGGCUAUGAUUCGGACGAGGUAGCCCAAAUCCGACACUUCAACUCCCAAGCCACUACUAUACUCCUCGCCUCUCUAAGUCGAGAGGAGUAUAAUAAGGUGCAAGGGUUGAAAAGUGCCAAGGAGAUUUGGGACGUGCUCAAGACCGCGCACGAAGGAGACGAGGUGACCAAGAUCACCAAGCGGGAAACGAUCGAGGAGGAGCUCGGUCGAUUUAUGCUCAACCAAGGAGAGGAGCCACAAGCCAUGUACAACCGGCUCAAGGCCUUGGUGAACCAAGUGCGUAACCUCGGGAGCACCAAGUGGGAUGACCAUGAAAUGGUCAAGGUUAUUCUAAGAUCACUUGUAUUUCUUAAUCCUACUCAAGUUCAAUUAAUUCGUGGUGAUCCUAGAUACCAUCUAAUGUCUCCCGAGAAGGUUAUAGGGAAGUUUGUGAGCUUUGAGUUGAUGAUCAAAGGCUCCAAACAAAUCAUCGAGCGAGGUGCCACCUCAACACCCGAGGUGCAACUUGUCGCCUUCAAAGCGACGGAGGAGAAGAAAGAAGAGUCUACAUCAAGUAGGCUCCCCAUCGAUGCCUCCAAGCUCGACAACGAGGAAAUGACGCUCAUCAUCAAGAGCUUCCGCCAAAUCCUCAAGCAAAGGAGGGGGAAGGAUUACAAGCCCCGCUCUAAGAAAGUUUGCUACAAGUGUGGUAAGCCCGGUCAUUUUAUUGCUAAAUGUCCAUUAUCUAGUGAUAGUGACAGGGGCGACGACAAGAAGGGAAAGAGGAGGGAAAAGAAGAGAUACUACAAGAAGAAGGGCGGCGAUGCCCAUGUUUGCCGGGAGUGGGACUCCGAUGAGAGAUCCACCGACUCCUCCUCCGACGAGGACGCCGCAAACAUCACUGUCAACAAGGGUCUUCUCUUCCCCAACGUCGGCCACAAAUGCCUCAUGGCAAAGGAUGACAAAAAGAAGGUAAAAUCUAGAGCCUCCACUAAAUAUGCAACAUCUAGUGAUGAGGAUAACUCUAGUGAUGAUGAAGAUAACUUGCUUGCCCUUUUUGCCAACCUAAACAUGCAACAAAAGGAAAAUUAAAUAAAUUAAUAGGUGCUAUUCAUGAGAAGGAUGAACUCUUGGAUAGCCAAGAGAACUUCCUUAUUAAGGAAAAUAAGAAGCAUGUUAAGGUUGAAAAUGCUUAUGCUCAGGAAGUAGAAAAAUGUGAAAAAUUGACUAGUGAGCUAAGCACUUGCUAUGAUAUUAUCUCAAACCUUAGAAAUAAAAAUGCAAAAUUAAUUGCUAAGGUUGAGAAGUUAGAUGUUUGUGAUGAUUCAAUUGUUAGUCUUAGAAAUGAUAAUGCUAGUUUGAUUACUAAGAUUGACAAGUUGAAUGCAUCACUCUCUAGCCUUAAAAUUGAGAAUGAAAAAUUAAUUGCUAAGGCUAAAGAUUUAAAUGUUUGCAAUGUUUCUAUUUCCAAUCUUAGAGACGAGAAUGCUAUUUUACAUGCUAAGAUUGAUGAAUUAAAUGCUUGCAAACCCUCUACAUCUACUGUUAGCCAUGUCUCUAUUUGCACUAGAUGUAGAGAUAUUAAUGUUGAUGCUAUCCAUGAUCACAUUGCUAUGAUUAAACAACAAAAUGAUCAUAUAGAAAAAUUAGAUGCUAAAAUUGUUGAGCAUGAAUUAGAGAAUGAAAAUUUUAAAUUUGCUCGUAGUAUGCUUUAUAGUGGGAGACGCCCUGGCAUUAAGGAAGGCAUUGGCUUCCAAAAGGGAGGAAAUGUCAAGCUCAAUGCCUCUAAAAGAUUAUCUAAUUUUGUUAAGGGCAAAGCUCCCAUGCCUCAGGGUAACGAGGGCUAUAUUUUAUAUCCUGCUGGUUAUCCUGAGGAUAAGAUUAGGAGAAUUCAUGAUAAGAAGACUCAUUCUGUUUCACACCAUGCUUUUAUUUAUAAGAAUGAGGCUUCUAUCUCUAGGUUUUCUACCCAUGUUAAAAUGCCUAAAAAGAAAUCUCUUAUUGCAUCAAAUGAUCAUAACAUUUCAUUUAAGACUUUUGAUGCUUCAUAUGUGUUAACUAACAAAUCAGGCAAAGUAGUUGCCAAAUAUGUUGGGGCCAAACACAAGGGCUCAAAGACUUGUGUUUGGGUACCCAAGGUGCUUGUUUCUAAUGUGAAAGGACCCAAGACCGUUUGGGUACCUAAGAACAAGGCCUAAACUUGUUUUGUAGGUUUAUGCAUCCGGGGGCUCAAGUUGGAUAAUUGAUAGCGGGUGCACAAACCACAUGACUGGGGAGAAAAGGAUGUUCUCCUCCUAUGAGAAAAACCAUGAUCCUCAAAGAGCUAUCACAUUCGGGGAUGGAAAUCAAGGUUUGGUCAAAGGACUUGGUAAAAUUGCUAUAUCACCUGACCAUUCUAUUUCCAAUGUUUUUCUUAUAGAUUCUUUAGACUAUAACUUGCUUUCAGUUUCUCAAUUAUGCAAAAUGGGCUACAAUUGUCUUUUUACGGAUAUAGGCGUUACUGUCUUUAGAAGAAGUGAUGAUUCAAUAGCAUUUAAGGGAGUACUCGAGGGUCAGCUAUACUUAGUUGAUUUUAAUAGAGCUGAACUUGACACUUGCUUAAUUGCUAAGACUAAGGUCUUGUUCGGUUAUUCCCAAUACACAUGGAUUGGAUGGGAUUGGAAAAAAUUCUUAAGAAGUUUGACUUGUUUGGGAUUCAAACCCAUCCAAUCCCACUCAAUCCACAUGGAUUGAGAGCUAACCGAACAAGCCCUAACAUGGGUUGGUUGUGGCACCGCCGACUAGCCCACGUUGGGACGAAGAAUCUUCACAAACUUCUAAAGGGAGAGCACAUUUUGGGACUAACAAAUGUUCAUUUUGAGAAAGAUGGGAUUUGUAGCGCAUGUCAAGCAGGGAAGCAAGUUGGUGUUCAUCAUCCACACAAGAACAUCAUGACGACUGACAGGCCGCUUGAGCUACUCCACAUGGACCUAUUCGGCCCGAUAGCUUACAUAAGCAUCGGCGGGAGUAAGUAUUGUCUAGUUAUUGUGGAUGAUUAUUCUCGCUUCACUUGGGUGUUCUUUUUGCAGGAAAAAUCUCAAACCCAAGAGACCUUAAAAGGAUUCUUAAGACGGGCUCAAAAUGAGUUCGGCUUAAGGAUCAAAAAGAUAAGAAGCGACAACGGGACGGAGUUCAAGAACUCUCAAAUAGAAGGCUUUCUUGAGGACGAGGGCAUCAAGCAUGAGUUCUCUUCUCCCUACACGCCACAACAAAAUGGUGUAGUGGAUAGGAAGAAUAGAACUCUACUUGACAUGGCGAGGACCAUGCUUGAUGAGUACAAGACUUCGGAUCGGUUUUGGGCGGAAGCAAUCAACACCGCUUGCUACGCCAUCAACCGUCUCUACCUUCACCGAAUCCUCAAGAAGACAUCAUAUGAAUUCCUAACCGGUAAAAAGCCCAAUGUCUCAUAUUUUAGAGUCUUUGGUAGCAAAUGUUUUAUUCUUGUUAAAAGAGGUAGAAAAUCUAAAUUUGCUCCUAAGGCUGUAGAAGGCUUUUUACUUGGUUAUGACUCAAACACAAGGGCAUAUAGAGUCUUUAACAAGUCCACUGGACUAGUUGAAGUUUCUUGUGACAUUGUGAAAGUCGCCUAGAGGGGGGGUGAAUAGGGCGAAACUGAAAUUUACAAAUAUAAACACAACUACAAGCCGGGUUAGCGUUAGAAAUGAAGAAACGAGUCCGAGAGAGAGGGCGCAAAACAAAUCGCAAGCAAAUGAAGAGUGUGACACACGGAUUUGUUUUACCGAGGUUCGGUUCUUGCAAACCUACUCCCCGUUGAGGAGGCCACAAAGGUCGGGUCUCUUUCAACCCUUCCCUCUCUCAAACGAUCCCUCGGAUCGAGUGAGCUUUCUCUUCUCAAUCACUUGGAACACAAAGUUCCCACAAGGACCACCACAAGUUUGGUGUCUCUUGCCUCAAAUACAAGUGAGUUUGAUCGCAAUGAAAGAAUCAAGAAGGAAGAAAGCAAUCCAAGCGCAAGAGCUCGAAAGAACACAAGCAAAUCUCUCUCACUAGUCACUAUGGCGUUGUGUGGAAUUUGGAGAGGAUUUGAUCUCUUUGGUGUGUCUAGAAUUGAAUGCUAGAGCUCUUGUAGUAGUUGGGAAGAGGAAAACUUGGAUGCAAUGAAUGGUGGGGUGGUUGGGGUAUUUAUAGCCCCAACCACCAAAUGUGGCCGUUGGGAGGCUGUCUGUUCGAUGGCGCACCGGACAGGUACUGUUUGCUGUCCGGUGUGCCAGUAUGGGCGCGCCUGACUUCUGCGCGCACUGCGCGCGCAUUUAAUGCGCCGCAGGUAGCCGUUGGCGCCGACUAGCCGUUGCUCCGGAGUUGCACCGGAUAGUCCGGUACACACCGGACAUGUCCGGUGAAUUUUAGCGGACUAGCCGUUGGAGUUUCCCGAAGCUGGCGAGUUCCUGAGGCCGCUCUUCCUUGGCGCACCGGACACUGUCCGGUGUACACCGGACAGUCCGGUGAAUUAUAGCGCGAGUGCCUCUGGAAAUUCCUGAAGGUGGCGAGUUUGAGUUGGAGUCCUCUGGUGCACCGGACACCGUCCGGUGGUGCACCGGACACUGUCCGGUGUACACCGGACAGUCCGGUGCUCCCAGACCAGAGGGCCUUCGGUUGCCACUUUGCUCCUUUGUUGAAUCCAAAACUUGGUCUUUUUAUUGGCUGAGUGUGAACCUUUUACACCUGUAUAAUCUAUACACUUGGGUAAACUAGUUAGUCCAAUUAUUUGUGUUGGGCAAUUCAACCACCAAAAUGAAUUAGGGACUAGGUGUAAGCCUAAUUCCCUUUCAAUCUCCCCCUUUUUGGUGAUUGAUGCCAACACAAACCAAAGCAAAUAUAGAAGUGUAUAAUUGAACUAGUUUGCAUAAUGUAAGUGCAAAGGUUGCUUAGAAUUUGAGCCAAUAUAAAUACUUACAAGAUAUGCAUGGAUUGUUUCUUUCUUAUAACAUUUUGGACCACGUUUACACCACAUGUUUUGUUUUUGCAAACUCUUUUGUAAAUCAUUUUCAAAGUUCUUUUGCAAAUAGUCAAAGGUAAAUGAAUAAGAUUUUUGCAAAGCAUUUUCAAGAUUUGAAAUUUUCUCCCCCUGUUUCAAAUGCUUUUCCUUUGACUAAACAAAACUCCCCCUAAAUGAGAUUCUCCUCUUAGUGUUCAAGAGGGUUUUGAUAUAUCAUUUUGAAAUACUACUUUCUCCCCCUUUUGAACACAAUAGGAUACCAAUUGAAAAUAUUCAACACUUAAGUUUUUGAAAUUGGUGGUGGUGCGGUCCUUUUGCUUUGGGCUCUUACUUUCUCCCCCUUUGGCAUGAAUCGCCAAAAAACGGAAUCAUUAGAGCCCUCGAAGUGCUUUCUUCCCCUUUGGUCAUAAAUAAAUGAGUUAAGAUUAUACCAAAGACGAAGUCUUUUUGCUUGGUGCUCAAGUUUUCUCCCCCUUGAACGGAGAGGUGCUUGGAGCGACGGCGAAGGAUGAGUUACGUAGUGGAAGCCUUUGUCUUCGCCUAAGACUCCAAUUUCCUUUCAAUACACCUAUGACUUGGUUUGAAAUAGACUUGAAAACACAUUAGUCAUAGCAUAUGAAAGAGAUAUGAUCAAAGGUAUACAAAUGAGCUAUGAGUGCAAGUUAACAAAAGAAAUUCCUAGAAUCAAGAAUAUUUAGCUCAUGCCUAAGUUUGUUAAAAGAUUGUUCAUCAAGAGGCUUGGUAAAGAUAUCGGCUAAUUGAUCUUUAGUAUUAAUGUAAGAAAUCUUGAUAUCUCCCUUUUGUUGGUGAUCCCUAAGAAAAUGAUAUCGAAUGGCUAUGUGCUUAGUGCGGCUAUGCUCGACGGGAUUGUCGGCCAUUUUGAUUGCACUCUCAUUGUCACAUAGCAAAGGGACUUUGGUUAAUUUGUAACCGUAGUCCCGCAGGGUUUGCCUCAUCCAAAGCAAUUGCGCGCAACAAUGACCUGCGGCAAUGUACUCGGCUUCGGCGGUUGAAAGAGCGACCGAAUUUUGCUUCUUUGAAGCCCAAGACACCAAGGAUCUUCCCAAGAACUGGCAAGUCCCCGAUGUGCUCUUCCUAUUGAUUUUGCACCCCGCCCAAUCGGCAUCCGAAUAACCAAUUAAAUCAAAUGUGGAUCCCCUAGGAUACCAAAGCCCAAACUUAGGAGUAUAGGCCAAAUAUCUCAAGAUUCAUUUUACGGCCGUAAGGUGAGCUUCCUUAGGGUUGGCUUGGAAUCUUGCACACAUGCAUACGGAAAGCAUAAUGUCCGGUCGAGAUGCACAUAAAUAGAGUAAAGAUCCUAUCAUCGACCGGUAUACCUUUUGAUCCACGGACUUACCUCCCGUGUCGAGGUCGAGAUGCCCAUUAGUUCCCAUGGGUGUCUUGAUGGGCUUGACAUCCUUCAUCCCAAACUUGUUGAGAAUAUCUUGUGUAUACUUCGUUUGGCUAAUGAAGGUGCCCUCUUGGAGUUGCUUCACUUGAAAUCCUAGAAAAUACUUCAACUCCCCCAUCAUUGACAUCUCGAAUUUCUGUGUCAUGAUCCUACUAAAUUCCUCACAAGUAGAUUCGUUAGUAGACCCAAAUAUGAUAUCAUCAACAUAAAUUUGGCAUACAAACAAAUCAUUUUCAAGAGUUUUCGUGAAUAGAGUAGGAUCGGCUUUACCGACUUUGAAGCCAUUAGCAAUAAGGAAAUCUCUAAGGCAUUCAUACCAUGCUCUUGGGGCUUGCUUGAGCCCAUAAAGCGCCUUAGAGAGCUUAUAGACAUGGUUAGGAUACUCACUGUCUUCAAAGCCGGGAGGUUGCUCAACAUAGACCUCUUCCUUGAUUGGUCCAUUGAGGAAAGCACUUUUCACGUCCAUUUGAUAAAGCUUAAAGCCAUGGUAAGUAGCAUAGGCCAAUAAUAUUCGAAUUGACUCAAGCCUAGCUACGGGUGCAUAAGUUUCACCGAAAUCCAAACCUUCGACUUGGGAGUAUCCCUUGGCCACAAGUCGAGCUUUGUUCCUUGUCACCACACCAUGCUCAUCUUGCUUGUUGCGGAAGACCCAUUUGGUCCCUACAACAUUUUGGUUAGGACGUCGAACUAAAUGCCAUACCUCAUUUCUAGUGAAGUUGUUGAGCUCCUCUUGCAUCGCCACCACCCAAUCCGAAUCUUGGAGUGCUUCCUCUACCCUGUGUGGCUCAAUAGAGGAAACAAACGAGUAAUGUUCACAAAAAUGUGCAACACGAGAUCGAGUAGUUACCCCCUUAUGAAUGUCGCCGAGGAUGGUGUCGACGGGGUGAUCUCGUUGGAUUGCUUGGUGAACUCUUGGGUGUGGCGGCCUUUGUUCCUCUUCCUCCUUGUCUUCCUCAUUUGCAUCUCCCCCUUGAUCAUUGCCAUUAUCUUGAGGUGGCUCAUUUGCUUGAUCUUCUACAUCAUCAACUUGAGCUUCAUCCUCAUUUUGAGUUGGUGGAGAUGCUUGCGUGGAGGAGGAAGGUUGAUCUUGUGCAUUUGGAGGCUCUUCGGAUUCCUUAGGACACACAUCCCCAAUGGACAUGUUCCUUAGCGCGAUGCAUGGAGCCUCUUCUUCACCUAUCUCAUCAAGAUCAACUUGCUCUACCUGAGAGCCGUUAGUCUCAUCAAACACAACGUCACAUGAGACUUCAACUAGUGCAGUGGACUUGUUAAAGACCCUAUAUGCCCUUGUGUUUGAGUCAUAACCAAGUAAAAAACCUUCUACAGUCUUAGGAGCAAAUUUAGAUUUUCUACCUCUUUUAACAAGAAUAAAGCAUUUGCUACCAAAGACUCUAAAAUAUGAAAUGUUGGGCUUUUUACCGGUUAGGAGUUCAUAUGAUGUCUUCUUGAGGAUUCGGUGUAGAUAUAACCGGUUGAUGGCGUAGCAGGCGGUGUUGACCGCCUCGGCCCAAAACCGAUCCGAAGUCUUGUACUCAUCAAGCAUGGUCCUUGCCAUGUCCAAUAGAGUUCGAUUCUUCCUCUCCACUACACCAUUUUGUUGAGGUGUGUAGGGAGAAGAGAACUCAUGCUUGAUGCCCUCCUCCUCAAGGAAGCCUUCGAUUUGAGAGUUCUUGAACUCUGUCCCGUUGUCGCUUCUUAUUUUCUUGAUCCUUAAGCCGAACUCAUUUUGAGCCCGUCUCAAGAAUCCCUUUAAGGUCUCUUGGGUUUGAGAUUUUUCCUGUAAAAAGAACACCCAAGUGAAGCGAGAAUAAUCAUCCACAAUAACUAGACAGUACUUACUCCCGCCGAUGCUUAUGUAAGCAAUUGGGCCGAAUAGAUCCAUGUGCAGGAGCUCCAGUGGCCUGUCGGUCGUCAUUAUGUUCUUAUGCGGAUGAUGAGUGCCAACUUGCUUCCCUGCUUGGCAUGCGCUACAAACCCUGUCUUUCGUCCUAAAAUGUGUUCUCCCUUUAGAAGCUUAUGAAGAUUCUUCAUCCCAACAUGGGCUAGUCGGCGAUGCCAGAGCCAACCCAUGUUAGUCUUAGCAAUUAAGCAAGUGUCGAGUUCAGCUCUAACAAAAUCUACCAAGUAUAGCUGACCCUCUAACACUCCCUUAAAUGCUAUUGAAUCAUCACUUCUUCUAAAGACAGUGACACCUACAUCAGUGAAUAGACAGUUGUAGCCCAUUUGACAUAAUUGAGAUACGGAAAGCAAAUUGUAAUCUAGAGAAUCUACAAGAAAAACAUUGGAAAUAGAAUGGUCAGGAGAUAUAGCAAUUUUACCCAAUCCUUUGACCAAACCUUGAUUUCCAUCCCCGAAUGUGAUCGCUCUUUGGGGAUCUUGGUUUUUCUCAUAUGAGGAGAACAUCUUUUUCUCUCCAGUCAUGUGGUUCGUGCACCCUCUGUCGAGUAUCCAACUUGAGCCCCCGGAUGCAUAAACCUACAAAACAAGUUUAGUUCUUGACUUUAGGUACCCAAAUGGUUUUGUGUCCUUUGGCAUUAGACACAAGAACCUUGGGUACCCAAACACAAGUCUUUGACCCCUUGUGCUUGCCCCCAACAUAUUUGGCAACUACCUUGCCGGAUUUGUUAGUCAGAACAUAAGAUGCAUCAAAAGUUUUAAAUGAAAUGCUUUGUUCAUUUGAUGCACUAGGAAUUUUCUUCUUAGGCAACUUAGCACGGGUUGGUUGCCUAGAGCUAGAUGUCUCACUCUUAUACAUAAAAGCAUGGUUAGAACCAGAGUGAGACUUCCUAGAAUGAAUUUUCCUAAUUUUGUCUUCGGGAUAACCGGCAGGGUAUAAAAUGUAACCCUCGUUAUCCUGAGGCAUGGGAGCCUUGCCCUUAACAAAGUUGGACAAUCUUUUAGGGGGGGCACUAAUUUUGACAUUGUCUCCCCUUUGGAAGCCAAUGCCAUCCUUGAUGCCCGGGCGUCUCCCACUAUAGAGCAUACUUCUAGCAAAUUUAAAUUUUUCUUUCUCUAAGUUAUGCUCGGUAAUUUUAGCAUCUAAUUUAGCUAUAUGAUCAUUUUGUUGUUUAAUUAAAGCCAUGUGAUCUUGUAUAGCAUCAAUGUUAAUAUAUCUACAUCUAGUGCAAAUAGAAGUGUGCUCAACGGUAGAUGUAGAGGGUUUGCAAGAUUUUAGUUCUACAACCUUAGCAUGCAAUAUUUCAUUUUUACUUCUAAGGUUGGAAAUAGUAACAUUGCAAACAUCUAGUUCUUUAGCCUUAGCAAUUAAAUUUUCAUUUUCUACUCUAAGGCUAGCAAGAGAAAUGUUCAAUUCUUCAAUCCUAGUAAGCAAAUCAUCAUUAUUAUCUCUAGGGUUGGGAAUUGAAACAUUGCAAACAUGAGAAUCAACCUUAGCUAACAAAUUAGCAUUUUCAUUUCUAAGGUUGUCUAUUGUUUCAUGGCAAGUGCUUAGCUCACUAGAUAAUUUUUGACAUUUUUCAAUUUCUAGAGCAUAAGCAUUUUUAACCUUAACAUGCUUCUUAUUUUCUUUAAUAAGGAAGUCCGCUUGGGUGUCCAAGAGAUCAUCCUUUUCAUGGAUGGCACUAAUCAAUUCAUUAAGUUUUUCCUUUUGUUGCAUGUUGAGGUUGGCAAAAAGAGUACGUAAAUUAUCCUCCUCAUCACUAGCAUUAUCAUCACUAGAAGAUUCAUAUUUAGUGGAGGAGUUAGAUUUAACCUUCUUCCGUUUGCCGUCCUUUGCCAUGAGGCACUUGUGGCCGACGUUGGGGAAGAGAAGCCCUUUGGUGACGGCGAUGUUGGCGGCGUCCUCGUCGUCGGAGGAGUCGCUUGAGCUUUCGUCGGAAUCCCACUCCCGACAAACAUGGGCAUCGCCGCCCUUCUUCUUGUAGUACCUCUUCUUCUCCUUUCUUCUCCCUUUCUUGUCGUCGCCUCGGUCACUGUCACUUGAUAUAGGACAUUUAGCAAUAAAAUGACCGGGCUUACCACAUUUGUAGCAAACCUUCUUGGAGCGGGACUUAUAGUCUUUCCCCCUCCUUUGUUUGAGGAUUUGGCGGAAGCUCUUGAUGACGAGCGCCAUUUCCUCAUUGUCAAGCUUGGAGGCGUCUAUUGGUUGUCGACUUGGGGUAGACUCCUCCUUCUUUUCUUCCGUUGCCUUGAAUGCGACGGGUUGAGCUUCGGAUGUAGAUGGAUCGUCAAGCUCGUUGAUCUUCCUCGAGCCUUCAAUCAUGCACUCAAAACUUAUAAAAUGCCCGAUAACUUCCUCGGGGGUCAUUUUAGUAUAUCUAGGAUUACCACGAAUUAAUUGGACUUGAGUAGGGUUAAGGAAAAUAAGAGAUCUUAGAAUAACCUUAACCACUUCAUGGUCAUCCCACUUUACGCUCCCGAGGUUGCGCACUUGGUUCACCAAGGUCUUGAGCCGGUUGUACAUGUGUUGUGGCUCCUCCCCUUUGCGAAGCCGGAACCGACCGAGCUCCCCCUCGAUCGUUUCCCGCUUGGUGAUCUUGGUGAGCUCGUCUCCCUCGUGCGCGGUUUUGAGCACAUCCCAAACCUCCUUUGCGCUCUUCAACCCUUGAACUUUGUUAUACUCCUCUCUACUCAAAGAGGCGAGGAGUAUUGUUGUUGCUUGAGAGUUAAAGUGCUCGAUUUGGGCCACCUCAUCCUCUUCAUAGUCUUUAUCCCCUACCGACGGUACCUGUGCACCAAACUCAACAACAUCCCAUAUACUUUUGUGGAGUGAGGUUAGAUGAAAUCGCAUUAAAUCACUCCACCUAGCAUAAUCUUCACCAUCAAAAGUUGGUGGUUUGCCUAAUGGGACGGAAAGUAAAGGUGCAUGUUUAGAAAUGCGAGGGUAGUGUAGGGGGAUCUUACUAAACUUCUUACGCUCUUGGCGUUUAGAAGUUACGGAGGGUGCAUCGGAGUCGGAGGUCGAUGUUGAUGAAGUGUCGGUCUCGUAGUAGACCACUUUCCUCAUCCUCUUUUGCUUGUUCCCGCUUCGAUGCGGCUUGUGGGAAGAAGAUUUUUCCUUCUUCUCUUUGUGGUGAGAAGAAGAUUUCUUCUCCUUCCCUUUGUUGGAGGAGAUCUUCUUCUUCUCCUUCCUCUUGGUGCGGGACUCUUCCGAUGAAGUGCUCCCGUGGCUUGUAGUAGGCUUUUCGCCGGUCUCUAUCUCCUUCUUGGCGUGAUCUCCCGACAUCACUUCGAGCGGUUAGGCUCUAAUGAAGCACCGUGCUCUGAUACCAAUUGAAAGUCGCCUAGAGGGGGGGUGAAUAGGGCGAAACUGAAAUUUACAAAUAUAAACACAACUACAAGCCGGGUUAGCGUUAGAAAUGAAGAAACGAGUCCGAGAGAGAGGGCGCAAAACAAAUCGCAAGCAAAUGAAGAGUGUGACACGCGGAUUUGUUUUACCGAGGUUCGGUUCUUGCAAACCUACUCCCCGUUGAGGAGGCCACAAAGGCCGGGUCUCUUUCAACCCUUCCCUCUCUCAAACGAUCCCUCGGAUCGAGUGAGCUUUCUCUUCUCAAUCACUUGGAACACAAAGUUCCCACAAGGACCACCACAAGUUUGGUGUCUCUUGCCUCAAUUACAAGUGAGUUUGAUCGCAAUGAAAGAAUCAAGAAGGAAGAAAGCAAUCCAAGCGCAAGAGCUCGAAAGAACACAAGCAAAUCUCUCUCACUAGUCACUAUGGCGUUGUGUGGAAUUUGGAGAGGAUUUGAUCUCUUUGGUGUGUCUAGAAUUGAAUGCUAGAGCUCUUGUAGUAGUUGGGAAGAGGAAAACUUGGAUGCAAUGAAUGGUGGGGUGGUUGGGGUAUUUAUAGCCCCAACCACCAAAUGUGGCCGUUGGGAGGCUGUCUGUUCGAUGGCGCACCGGACAGGUACUGUUUGCUGUCCGGUGUGCCAGUAUGGGCGCGCCUGACUUCUGCGCGCGCUGCGCGCGCAUUUAAUGCGCCGCAGGUAGCCGUUGGCGCCGACUAGCCGUUGCUCCGGAGUUGCACCGGACAUGUCCGGUGAAUUUUAGCGGACUAGCCGUUGGAGUUUCCCGAAGCUGGCGAGUUCCUGAGGCCGCUCUUCCUUGGCGCACCGGACACUGUCCGGUGUACACCGGACAGUCCGGUGAAUUAUAGCGCGAGUGCCUCUGGAAAUUCCCGAAGGUGGCGAGUUUGAGUUGGAGUCCUCUGGUGCACCGGACACCGUCCGGUGGUGCACCAGACACUGUCCGGUGCUCCCAGACCAGAGGGCCUUCGGUUGCCACUUUGCUCCUUUGUUGAAUCCAAAACUUGGUCUUUUUAUUGGCUGAGUGUGAACCUUUUACACCUGUAUAAUCUAUACACUUGGGUAAACUAGUUAGUCCAAUUAUUUGUGUUGGGCAAUUCAACCACCAAAAUGAAUUAGGGACUAGGUGUAAGCCUAAUUCCCUUUCACAUUGUGUUUGAUGAGACUAAUGGCUCUCAAGUAGAGCAAGUUGAUCUUGAUGAGCUAGAUGAUGAAGAGGCCCCGUGCGUCGCGCUAAGGAACAUGUCCAUUGGGGAUGUGUAUCCUAAGGAAUCCAAAGAGUCUCCACAUGCACAAGAUCAACCAUCAUCUUCAAUUCAAGCAUCUCCACCAACCCAAGAUGAGGAUCAAGCUUAAGAAGAUGAAACUGAAGAUCAAGAAGAUGAGCUACCUCAAGAGGAGGACAAUGAUCAAGGGGGAGAUACCCAUGAUCAAGACAAGGAAGAUGAUGAGGGUCCAAGACCGCCACACCUAAGGGAUUUGGAUUGGGUGUUGGCAAUGCAAGAGGAACUCAACAACUUCACAAGGAAUGAGGUAUGGCAUCUUGUUCCAUGUCCUAACCAAAAUGUUGUGGGAACCAAGUGGGUCUUCCGCAACAAGCAAGAUGAGCAUGGUGUGGUGACAAGGAACAAAGCCCGACUUGUGGCCAAAGGAUAUUCACAAGUCGAAGGUUUGGAUUUCAGUGAAACCUAUGCACCCGUAGCUAGGCUUGAGUCAAUUCGCAUAUUACUUGCCUAUGCUACUUAUCAUGGCUUCAAGCUUUAUCAAAUGGAUGUGAAGAGUGCCUUCCUCAAUGGACUAAUCAAGGAGGAGGUUUAUGUUGAGCAACCUCCCGACUUUGAAGAUAGUGAGUACCCUAACCAUGUCUAUAAACUCUCAAAGGCGCUUUAUGGGCUCAAGCAAGCCCCAAGAGCAUGGUAUGAAUGCCUAAGAGAUUUUCUUAUCGCUAAUGGCUUCAAAGUCGGAAAAGCCGAUCCUACUCUCUUUACUAACACAAUUGCAAAUGAUUUGUUUGUAUGCCAAAUUUAUGUUGAUGAUAUCAUAUUUGGGUUUACUAACAAAUCUACAUGUGAAGAGUUUAGUAGGAUCAUGAUUCAAAAAUUCGAGAUGUCUAUGAUGGGGGAGUUGAAGUAUUUUCUAGGAUUUCAAGUCAAGCAACUCCAAGAGGGCACCUUCAUCAGCCAAACGAAGUACAUUCAAGACAUACUCACCAAGUUUGGAAUGAAGGAUGCCAAGUCUAUCAAGACACCCAUGGGAACUAAUGGGCAUCUCGACCUCGACACGGGAGGUAAAUCCGUAGAUCAAAAGGUAUACCGAUCGAUGAUACGUUCUUUACUCUAUUUAUGUGCAUCUCGACCGGACAUUAUGCUUUCCGUAUGCAUGUGUGCAAGAUUUCAAGCCGAUCCUAAGGAAGUUCACCUUAGGGCCGUGAAACGAAUCUUGAGAUAUUUAGUCUAUACACCUAAGUUUGGUCUUUAGUACCCCGAGGGAUCCACUUUUGAUUUAAUAGGAUAUUCAGAUGCUGAUUGGGCAGGGUGUAAGAUUGAUAGAAAGAGCACAUCAGGGACUUGUCAGUUAUUGGGAAGAUCCCUGGUGUCUUGGGCUUCAAAGAAACAAAAUUCAGUAGCUCUUUCUACCGCCGAAGCCGAGUACAUUGUCGCAGGCCAUUGUUGCGCGCAAUUACUUUGGAUGAGGCAAACCCUUAGGGACUAUGGUUACAAAUUAACCAAAGUCCCUCUCCUAUGUGAUAAUGAGAGUGCAAUCCGCAUGGCGGAUAAUCCCGUUGAGCACAGCCGCACUAAGCACAUAGCCAUUUGGUAUCACUUUUUGAGAGAUCACCAACAAAGGGGCGAUAUCGAGAUUGCAUAUGUCAGCACCAAAGAACAAUUAGCCGAUAUCUUUACCAAGCCAUUAGAUGAGAAAACUUUUACCAAACUUAGGCAUGAGCUAAACAUUCUUGAUUCUAGGAAUUUUGAUUAAUACCUUGCACACAUAGCUAAUUUAUAUACCUUUGAUCAUCUCUCUUUCAUGUGCUAUGACUAAUGUGGUUUUCAAGUGUAUUUCAUGCUAAGUCAUAGAUUGAAAGGGAAAUGGAGUUCUUCGGCGAAGACAAGGCUUCCACUCCACUCCAUUGAAUUAUUCAUCCUUCACCGUCACUCCGCACCGCUCUCCAAUUUGGUAUAAUCUUCACUCAUAUAUUGUUUGCCAAAGGGGAGAGAAAGUAAAAGGGCUCAUAUUUCACUCACAAGUAUCCGUUUUGGCGAUUCAUGCCAAAGGGGGAGAAAGUAUUAGCCCAAAGCAAAAGGACCGCACCACCACCAAUUUCAAAAAUGUAGUCUUUCAAUUUGUAUUAAAGAAGUUUUUCAAUUGGUAUCUUAUUUUUGAUAUAAUUUCAAAUUGGUAUGACCUCUUUCAAAAUUAAUAUCUAAAACCCUCUUGAACACUAAGAGAAGAAUUUCAUGGAGGGGGGGAGUUUUGUUUAGUCAAAGGAAAAACAUUAGAAACAGGGGGAGAAAAUUUCAAAUCUUGAAAAUGCUUCUCGAAAUCUUAUUCAUUUACCUUUGACUAUUUGCAAAAAGACUUUGAAAAGAAUUUCCAAAAUAGUUUGCAAAAACAAAACAAGUGGUGCAAGCGUGGUCCAAAAUGUUAAAAGAAAUAAAGCAUCCAUGCAUAUCUUAUGAAAUGUAAAUUGGUUUAAUUCCAAGUAACCUUUGCACUUACCUUAUGCAAACUAGUUUAAUUCUGCACUUAUAUAUUUGCUUUGGUUUGUGUUGGCAUCAAUCACCAAAAAGAGGGAGAUUGAAAGGGAAAUAGGCUCGCACCUUUUCCUAAAUGAUUUUGGUGGUUGAAUUGCCUAACACAAAUAAUUGGACUAACUAGUUUGCUCUAGAUUAUAAGUUCUACAGGUGCCAAAGGUUCAACACAAACCAAUAAAAAGUCAAAGAAAGGGUUCAUAUAAAAAGGAGCAAAAGACAACCGAAGGCUGCCCUGGUCUGACGCAUCGGACUGUCCGGUGCGCCACCGGACAGUGUCCAGUGCACCAGGGAGAAUCACUCCAAACUCCUCAGCUUCGGGUUUCUGGAAAAUGUUCUCCGCUAUAAUUCACCGGACUGUCCGGUGUGGCACCGGACUGUCCGGUGUGCCAUGCGGAGCAAUGGCUAACUGCGCCAACGGUCAUCUGCAAAAGCUACAGAAACAGUGAACAGUGUGCGACUGCGCGAGCAGAGUCAGAGCAGGCGCCAGAAGGCGCACCGAACAGUAAAACAGGACCUGGCCGGUGCACCACCGGACUGUCCGGUGGCCCCACCUGUCAGAGCUCCAAUGGUCGAACCCUAACGGUUGGGUGAUGUGGCUGACGCACCGGACAGUGUCCGGUGGCACACCGGACUGUCCGGUGCGCCCUUCGACAGCAGCCUUCCCCAACGGGCACUUUGGUGGUUGGGACUAUAAAUACCCCCAACCACCACACUUCAAGGCAUCCAAGUUUUCAGCCAACACAUUCAAUACAAGAGCUAGUGCAUUCAAUACAAGACACAAUCAGAGUGAAUCAAAAUCUCUCCAAGUCCCAAUUCCACUCAAAGCAAUAGUGACUAGAAGAGAGAGUUUUGCCGUGUUAUUUUGAGCUCUUGCGCUUGGAUCGCUUUUCUUCUUCCCAUUUCUUGUUCCAAAGUUCUUUGUAAUCAAAGCAAGAGACACCAAUUGUGUGGUGGUCCUUGUGGGGACUAAGUGUCCCAAUUGAUUGAGAAGAGAAGCUCACUCGGUCUAAGUGACCGUUGGAUAGAGGGAAAGGGUUGAAAGAGACCCGGUCUUUGUGACCACCUCAACGGGGAGUAGGUUUGCAAGAACCGAAUCUCGGUAAAACAAAUCACUGUGUCACACUCUUCAUUUGCUUGUGAUUUGUUUUUGCCCUCUCUUUCGGACUCGACUUUAUUUCUAACGCUAACCCCGGCUUGUAGUUGUGCUUAAACUUUAUAAAUUUCAGAUUUGCCUAUUCACCCCCUCCCCUCUAGGCGACUUUCAGUACUCCUUGGUGUCGAGGUCGAAGUGGCCAACCUCGUCCUCCAUGCUCGUCGGCGUGUACGCCCGCAAGUAGGACUUCAUGUCGACGCUGGCGCAGUCGAAGUCAUGUGUGCUCAUGUGAAGGCUGAGCACCUAGUUCGACGAUGCCAGGGAGAAGAUGAGGCGGACGUCACGGGCCAGCCUCGUCCUGUUGACGAGCUGGCAACGGAUCUUCUUGCACGGGUUGGGAAGCGUGGCGGUCGCAGGAACACUGCCUGCCUCGCUGUGGGACAGCUCAUAGCCGCCGCCGCCGUGGACGGCGCUGACGGGGUCGACGGUCAGGUGCUGGAGCGGACGACGUUGUAGCCGCGUGCGAUGCAGGACGCGGUUGGUGCUGUAUUCGUUGGAUUUGGGCGCGCCCACGAUGCAGACCACGAGGAGGUUGGGGACGGAGUAUGCGCCACGGUUGAGGCCCAUUCUCGAACACCUGGUGGACGUGGUCGUGAGAACCUCCUCCUCCUCUGCAUCGGUGUUGGGGACGAGUGGAGGUAACGGGUCCAGGUGCUUGAUCCUCGCCUUGAUGAUGAGGUCGAAGUGCCUGUCGACGACGAUGAAUGUCUGGAUCAGCCCUGAGGUCGUGUGUUCGACCUCGUCUGCGAUGCUCCAGAUAUGCUGGCUGAUGCCGCCGAUGAGCCCGUCGUGGAUCUUCUCAUCCGGGUUCCGACGGAACAGCGUCGCGCCCUCGGGGAGGCACGGGUAGCGCGGUGACCCACUGGUGUCGACGUUCGAGUCGAGCGUCGCGCCGGGGUUGAGCGGCGCAUGGACGUGGACAACGCCUGAAUCGUCGUCAGCCGCGUUGGCGCUCGCGGCGUCCUCGUCCAACCCGUCGAGCUCCUGGAGGAGGUCGUCGUCGGGGUUGGCGAUAGUAUCGACAGACGAUUGUGGCGUGGUGUAGCGGUCGUCGUCGUAGAGUGGCGGGAUGAAGCGGUCGAAUACCGAGCCGGCGAGGAGCGUGGUCGAUGAAUGCAUCUCAUCGGACCCCAGGAACGCAAGCACUGUGGCGGUCUGCUGCAGGCCAAAGUUGUUUCCCGAAUCCAAGGACGCCACCUUUGCAGCGUCGUCGUGGACCAGAGGUGGAAGGCAUGCCUCGCCGCGGUACUGUGUGUUGACGACGGAAGAAGGAGACGUGGAUCCGUGGAAGGAGGAAGUGCGCUCGCGUGAGGACUGUUCGUCGUAGCGACCAGCCAGCACAUCGGUCAAGCGUGCCUCCGUGCGCGCCAGUGCGUCCAGAAUAUCCUGUAUCGCGGCCUCCAUCGAGUCCUAGUCUGAUACCAAAUGUUAGCAACACAUGGGAAGGGGGAUCGGAGAGGAAGAGUUCAGAGGAGAAUGAGACUUGGAGAAGGGAAUAGCUAGGAGGAAGGCGAGUUUGUGUGAUGUUUGAUAGCUAAAUUGUUCAUGUCCUAUUACACAAGUUUUUGUCUUUUAUAUAGUACUACUAGAACAUCAAGCGAUCUAUAGAUAGUUGACCCACUACUUGGGUCAUAUUGGCUCAGUAACCUUAGCGUUUGGACGACGGACUCUCGCGUUCCAUGGCUUGUUCUCGCUGUCUGCUCAUUGCUCCUGUCUGAGAUGCUGACACAACAGCAGCAGACGGCGGACGCUGUCUUUCAAGCUUGCUUGGACCGACUCCGCCUCGGUGACGGCGGCAGCAGCUGCUGCUUGUUCCUCUUGUUGUUGGCUGCCGAGAGGGUCCUGUCUGAGUAGCGAGCAGAUGGAGUCGUAGUCCCAGGUGGUGGGCUGGUAGUUGGCCGACCGCCGCCUGCGCAUGUGCAACUGCAACGCAGGCGGCGACUCCAUGUCUACCGGCCCGUACGUUGGUGGUGGUCGGAGUCGGAGACGACGGUGAUCCCAACAGCCAACGCCGUGAUCGAUCGAUGAUGCCUGCAGCUAGUCUGUCGAUCGAAGCAAGAGGUGGUGGUGCCAGAGGCCUAGCUUUGCGAUCAGACGAAC